GAUGAAGAACGCAGCAAAAUGCGAUAAGUAAUGUGAAUUGCAGAAUUCAGUGAAUCAUCGAAUCUUUGAACGCACAUUGCGCCCGCUGGUAUUCCGGCGGGCAUGCCUGUUCGAGCGUCAUUUCAACCCUCAAGCCCCCAGGGGCUUGUGCUGGGGCCCUGCGGCUGCCCGCAGGCCCUGAAAACCAGUGGCGGGCUCGCUAGUCACACCGAGCGCAGUAGCACAUCUCGCUCAGGGCGUGCGGCGGGCUCCUGUCGUGAAACCCCCCACUGUAACCCCAAAGGUUGACCUCGGAUCAGGUAGGAAUACCCGCUGAACUUAAGCAUAUCAAUAAGCGGAGGA
rnacentral:misc_RNA from 1 species